rnacentral:rRNA from 1 species
AGCAGCCGCGGUAAUUCCAGCUCCAAUAGCGUAUAUUAAAGUUGUUGCAGUUAAAAAGCUCGUAGUUGAAUUUCGGGAUCAAUACGUCGGUCGUGCUUAGGUACGUACUGGCGUAAUUGAUUUCUCCCUUCUGACGAACCAUGAUGUCAUUAACUUGGUGUCAUGGGAAAUCAGGACUGUUACUUUGAAAAAAAUUGAGUGUUUAAAGCAAGCUAACGCUUGAAUACAUUAGCAUGGAAUAAUGAAAUAGGACGUUCGAUCCUAUUUUGUUGGUUUCUAGGAUUGACGUAAUGAUUAAUAGGGGAUAGUUGGGGGCAUUAGUAUUCAAUUGUCAGAGGUGAAAUUCUUGGAUUUAUUGAAGACUAACUACUGCGAAAAGCAUUUGCCAAGGAUGUUUUCAUUAAUCAAGAACGAAAGUUAGGGGAUCGAAGACGAUCAGAUACCGUCGUAGUCUUAACCAUAAACUAUA